AUGAUCAUCCUCUGCAUCUGCUUCAUAUGUUGCAUGCAGUUGAAAAGGGAAGCCACUCGCAAGAUCAUUUCCAGGGGCGCGUCAAGUUCAAGUGCGUCUGUCCUGCUUGGCGACGUCUCCGCGAUAGCAAAUUUUGUGUCAUCAAAUGUCCUACCGGAGUACUGUCCACAGAAGAAGGAGGUCUUAUGCAAGGCUGCAGGUAAUCUUUGUGCAAGCAUCACGGACGCGCUGACCAAGUUCAUGCGUGAAGUCUCUGGGCUUGAAGGCUGCAGCGGAGAAGCCGGCAAAAAUAGCACUGAACUUGCAGUGAGAGAAGAUAACAAUGUGGAGAAUGAUGGUGACGAGAUGGAUGUCGACACGCUCCCAGAUGAUACUUCAGAGCUGGCAACUAAGGACAUGGAAGACACGUCGGUCGAUGAGCAUGAAGAUGGAAGUUCCGGGGAGGGCGAGGAAGGUGUUUCGAGCAGUGCGGACUCUGAAGAUGAUCCUGACUGGGAAGGUUACAGAGCCACGCGGAGUCGUUCUCGACAAAACAGCGUGACACGGAAUAGCAGCAAUAGCAAAGAGCCUGGAGAUGGAAAAAAUAAACCUAGAGAUGUAACGGCCACUGGUUCAGGAAAUGAUGAUUCCAAUAUUCCAGAUGGAAACAAUGAUAGAGUGAACCAAUGCAGCGAAGAACAUGGAAAUGUCGCAAAACCAACAUCGCCUAAUGUUCAUGAGGAUGUGAUGGUAUCAACAUUGGUUGUUUCACAGGCAACAGAAGAACCUGGAGAUGUAACGACCAAUGUUUCCGGAAAUGGUUCAGGUAUUCCAGAGGGAGAUCAAGGCAUAGUGAACCGGUGCGGCGAAGAAGAACAUGUAAACGUCGCAAAAGUAAAUCCAUCCAGCGGUCAUGUGGAUGUGGUGAUACCAACUUCAGCUGUGUCACUGCCAAGCACUCCUAGCACACAACAGAAAAACACUGAGAAGGAGUGUUCCGUUGAGGAAAUGAUGGCGAUCCAGCCUUCCAGCACGCUGUUGGGCGGAUCAUCUGUGAUGGCGUUGGAUGAUAAUGUGACCCCCUCAAAGGAAGACAAGAACAUGGACCUGACUCCUGCUAUCAACUUUGUUGAAGGAACUCCUGUUGUUGAUUUGAGUACCCCGGAAAGUUCAGACAGCGAGUGCACGGUCGUAAGGACCGUAAGGAAGCGUUCUCCUGUCAAUGGCCCUAAAACGCCCUCAUGA
rnacentral:rRNA from 1 species